GCAUCAUCUCCUUCGGGCUCCUGGGGAAAAUCUACUCUGCCCUCUCCAAACUGCCGGUGACGUCCGAGCAUUCCGUGGAGCUGGAUCUGCAGGAUUCCCCAUUCCCAAGCACCUUCAUCGACUGGCUCCUCCAGACUGCAGGUGUCAAUCCCGGGAGCAAUCCGUAGCCUGGAAGUACGUGGGGUGCCUCCACAGGCGAUUCCUGAGGAGGAGGAGGGAAGGGAGGAAGAUGACUCGACGCGUGGAGAAUAGACAUGAAAAUGAAGAAAACCCAAGAAAACACAUUUUCUUCUGCUCUACUUCUCAGAUUGAGGUGUCUUUUUACAGCCCAGGGUAAUCUGUGCCAGUGGUCAGCCGUGUCAGUGGUUAGCUGUGUCGGUGGUUAGCUAUGCUGAUGACACUCUGACUACAGAGGCAGGAGCCCCAGGUCUUGCCUCUGUGCUCUCCUGGUUCUCAUGGUCACAAGCCACUUGUUAUGGCACCCACUGAUGAAGGGAACACCUUUACCCCCUGCUUCUUUCUCACGCCCACCCCAGCUUCGCUGGGGCUGGGGUUUGGGCCAGGUAGUGGCUCAGCACAGAGGGGAUAUUCCAGGUGCUGGAUGCAGGCACCUGGGAUGAAGGCAGGGAUUUGGUCCCCUCACAGCCACCCCUCAGGAAUUUCAGGAGUUUGCACCAACUGCACCAAACCCCCGAGAAGGGAAGGGAGAAAAGGGACGAACCCGAACCUAAAAGCUGUAAAAGCUUUGUCUUUGCUCUCCUUCUGCUGCUUGAUUAGCUUACCAUUUCAAAAGGGAAUUUUGCUGUUUCCAGUGAUUUCAAGAGGCAAAAAGGCCCCCGGUCUAAUCCAGGCGCACACUCAGCCGAUUUGUUCCCAAACAGCGACGCUUUGAACUGAUCAGAGCGAACGCUAUCCUGCCUUGUAAUCUCCGAGUGGAUUUGGAUGUGCUGCAUUGUGGGUGAGGUGGAUUUGAGGCUGAUUCCCACCCUUCUGUUACUCCUUACAAUAAAAAGGAUUUUUCUUCAUCUGCAUUCAGCACGUGACUUGGUUCCUUUCCGAACUGCCAAAGCAUUUUUGCAUUUGUAAGGGUUUUGUUAUUUAUCUCUCCCAUCAGCUACAGGAGUAACUCACAUGCGAGGAAUAUUGAAUAGGUGAGUCUGCUGGGAAGGUGGGGAAUCACAAGCGGCUCCAGCCCCAGAGCUAGGCCUGAGUCGAGCCCAAGCCCUGCCCAGGCUGCUGGAGCCCCCCUUCUCACAGCCUAAAGUACCUACAGAAAUGUGGUCAAUGUGGGAAAUAAAUAUUCCCCUCAUUUGUAUUUAUGCAGAUUUAUUCUGCCCCUGUCCCUGAGCUGCUGGUUCUUUCAGUGCCUGUUCCUGCUUCCCAGCCUGUUGCCAGAGAGCUGGGAGCUGUUUGACAUGAACAAACACAUCCCUGGUGCCCCAUCGAGGCAGCUCCCUGUCUGGCUGGG